rnacentral:rRNA from 1 species
GACGAACGCUGGCGGCGUGCUUAACACAUGCAAGUCGAACGGAAAGGCCCUGCUCUUGUGGUGUGCUCGAGUGGCGAACGGGUGUGUAACACGAGUGUAACCUGCCCUUGACUUUGGUAUAACUUCAGGAAACUGGGGCUAAUACCGGAGAGGAGCCUCCGGUGCAUUGUGGGGGUGGGAAAGUUUCGGCGGUUGGGGAUGGACUCGCGGCUUAUCAGCUUGUUGGUGGGGUAGUGGCUUACCAAGGCUUUGACGGGUAGCCGGCUUGAGGGGGUGACCGGCAACAUUGGGCCUGAGAUAGGGCCAAGACUCCUAGGGGGGGCAGCGGUGGGGAAUAUUGCACAAUGGGCGGAAGCCUGUUGAAGAAACGCCGGGUGCGGGAUGCCGGCCUUCGGGUUGUAAACCGCUUUCGCCUGUGACGAAGCGUGAGUGACGGUAAUGGGUAAAGAAGCACCGGCUAACUACGUG